rnacentral:tRNA from 1 species
AUUUAUAUAGUUUAAAUUAAUUUAAAACCCUUCAUUUUCAAUGAAGAAAAAAGAAAUAUAUCUUUAUAAAUA